AGAUGCGAUGAUACCAGCACUAAAGCACCGGAUCCCAUCAGAACUCCGAAGUUAAGCGUGCUUGGGCAAGAGUAGUACUAGGAUGGGUGACCUCCUGGGAAGUCCUCGUGUUGCAUUCC
rnacentral:rRNA from 1 species